rnacentral:rRNA from 1 species
GAUCAUGGCUCAGGACGAACGCUGGCGGCGCGCCUAACACAUGCAAGUCGAACGAGCGAGAGAGAGCUUGCUUUCUCAAGCGAGUGGCGAACGGGUGAGUAACGCGUGAGGAACCUGCCCUCAAAGAGGGGGGACAACAGUUGGAAACGACUGCUAAUACCGCAUAAGCCCACGACCCGGCAUCGGGUAGAGGGAAAGGAGCAAUCCGCUUUGAGAUGGCCUCGCGUCCGAUUAGCUAGUUGG